UACGGAGGGUGCAAGCGUUAAUCGGAAUUACUGGGCGUAAAGGGUUUGUAGGUGGUCUGCUAAGUCAGACGUGAAAUCCCUCAGCUUAACUGGGGAACUGCGUCUGAGACUGGUGGACUUGAGGGCAGGAGAGGAACGCGGAAUUCCAGGUGUAGCGGUGAAAUGCGUAGAUAUCUGGAGGAACACCGGUGGCGAAGGCGGCGUUCUGGACUGUUUCUGACACUGAAAAACGAAAGCCAGGGGAGCAAACGGG
rnacentral:rRNA from 1 species